UUUGCUGGAGCCUGCCCGGCGCAGUUCGCAUGAUUAAGCAAAUGCCUUUCCUGGUGCUAGUAGGAACUUUCACCACCACCACCCCCAUUCCCCUCCAACCUUUGCUAGAGGAGAGAAGCCAGAGCCUGGAGGCCAAGUCCUUCAAACUCCAUUGCGACUCCUCCCGGCAGGGCGCGGCCUAAAGCCCACGGCGGAACGCUGGACUUAGACCAGGGAUGUCAGCAGGUCUGUCUGUCGGAGCAGAGGCUCUCCGGAAAAGGAAUACAGCUGGCAUCAAUCAGAUCCACAUCCCUGAGAGGACUGCAUCAACUCUUUUGGGAACUGUCUUCCCACCUUGAUGCCCUGCGCUGUGCAGCUUCUGAAAAUGACACACAGGGAACUUCACCCUGACCAGGAAAAUCAAGGCUCUGAGAACUAGUUUAUUUUCUUGGAACAGAUAUGUUUUUCCCUAGUGCCAUAGAAAACAAUACAUAUAAAUAAAAAGGCAGUGUUUCUGUGGAAAAUAAAAGUACAUAAAUAAAUACUAAAAAAAAAAAAA
ensembl:processed_transcript 0610009E02Rik RIKEN cDNA 0610009E02 gene